UGUUCAGCAUCUGAGUAUUCUGUUUGUAUUUGUGCUUAAGCCACUGUCUGUUGUAUGUUGUAUUCACAGUUUCCUGACUGGCUGUAACUUCCUCAUACGUGAGAACCCAUGCCUUAGAACUCCAGUCCUGUGGAAGCAGCCACCUUCCAGGACAUUUUUCAGUGACAGGAGGAAGCUUCAUACUGCUCCAGCAGGACAAGCCUUCCGCCUGCGCCCCUUCCAUGUUCUGGUGGCUACAGGUGGGGGAUACGCAGGAUACAAAAAGUAUGAGGGCUACAAGUUGGAACAGCUGGAGAAGAAGGGCAUAGAGUUGCCUGUGAAGCUCGCAAGUGAGUGGGAGGUAAGAAGCUUGUGGCAAUUUUGCUUCUGCUGUGUUUGAGGCAAAGCCCCUUUGCUCUCUUUCCAAUGAGGAAAUGUGCAGUUUGUUCUCUGUAGCUGAUGCAUUUUUGACAAGUUGUUU
rnacentral:lncRNA from 1 species